rnacentral:rRNA from 1 species
UACGUAGGUGGCAAGCGUUGUCCGGAUUUACUGGGUGUAAAGGGCGUGCAGCCGGAGAGACAAGUCAGAUGUGAAAUCCACGGGCUCAACUCGCGAACUGCAUUUGAAACUGUUUCCCUUGAGUGUCGGAGAGGUAAUCGGAAUUCCUUGUGUAGCGGUGAAAUGCGUAGAUAUAAGGAAGAACACCAGUGGCGAAGGCGGAUUACUGGACGAUAACUGACGGUGAGGCGCGAAAGCGUGGGGAGCAAACAGG